CAGUGUGAAAAACUCCGGUGGUAUGAGAUGGACCCGCGUCUGAUUAGGUAGUUGGUGGGGUAACGGCCCACCAAGCCGACGAUCAGUAGCCGACCUGAGAGGGUGACCGGCCACAUUGGGACUGAGACACGGCCCAAACUCCUACGGGAGGCAGCAGUGGGGAAUAUUGCACAAUGGGGGAAACCCUGAUGCAGCGACGCCGCGUGAAGGAUGAAGUAUUUCGGUAUGUAAACUUCUAUCAGCAGGGAAGAAAAUGACGGUACCUGACUAAGAAGCCCCGGCUAACUACGUGCCAGCAGCCGCGGUAAUACGUAGGGGGCAAGCGUUAUCCGGAUUUACUGGGUGUAAAGGGAGCGUAGACGGUAAUGCAAGUCUGGAGUGAAAACCCGGGGCUCAACCCCGGGACUGCUUUGGAAACUGUGUAACUAGAGUGUCGGAGAGGCAAGUGGAAUUCCUAGUGUAGCGGUGAAAUGCGUAGAUAUUAGGAGGAACACCAGUGGCGAAGGCGGCUUGCUGGACGAUGACUGACGUUGAGGCUCGAAAGCGUGGGGAGCAAACAGGAUUAGAUACCCUGGUAGUCCACGCCGUAAACGAUGA
rnacentral:rRNA from 1 species